UUCCGGUUGAUCCCGCCGGACCCGACUGCUAUUUGGGUGAGAAUAAGCCAUGCGAGUUGAAUGGGAUACCUAAAGUUCCCAUAGCAAACUGCUCAGUAACACAUGAUCAACUUACCCUAUAGAGAAAAAUAACCUCGGGAAACUGAGGAUAAUGUUUCAUAAUUGAAUUGGCUUGGAAAAGUUUUUCAAUGAAAAGGAUAAAAAAAUGGUUUUUAUCUGCUAUAGGAUAGGAUCGUGUUCGAUUAUGGUUGUUGGUGAGAUAAUGGCUCACCAAGCCGAUAAUCGAUAGGGGCCGUGAGAGCGGGAGCCCCGAGAUGGGUACUGAGACAACGACCCAGGCCUUACGAGGCGCAGCAGGCGCGGAACCUCCGCAAUACACGAAAGUGUGACGGGGUUACCCAAAGUGUUCAAUAGAACUGUGGUAGGUGAGUAAUGUUCCCUACUAGAAAGGAGAGGGCAAGGCUGGUGCCAGCCGCCGCGGUAAAACCAGCUCUUCAAGUGGUCGGGAUAAUUAUUGGGCUUAAAGUGUCCGUAGCCGGUUUAGUAAGUUCCUGGUAAAAUCGGGUAGCUUAACUAUCUGCAUGCUAGGAAUACUGCUAUACUAGAGGGCGGGAGAGGUCUGAGGUACUACAGGGGUAGGGGUGAAAUCUUAUAAUCCUUGUAGGACCACCAGUGGCGAAGGCGUCAGACUGGAACGCGCCUGACGGUGAGGGACGAAAGCCAGGGGAGCGAACCGGAUUAGAUACCCGGGUAGUCCUGGCCGUAAACGAUGCAUACUAGGUGACGGUACGGCCAUGAGCCGUAUCAGUGCCGUAGGGAAACCGUUAAGUGUGCCGCCUGGGAAGUACGGUCGCAAGGCUAAAACUUAAAGGAAUUGGCGGGGGAGCACCACAAGGGGUGAAGCCUGCGGUUCAAUUGGAUUCACGCCGGGAAUCACUAGUGCGGCCGCC
rnacentral:rRNA from 1 species